AAGCGGGGGAUCUUCGGACCUUGCGCGGUUGGACGGACCGAUGUGCGAUUAGCUAGUUGGUAGGGUAAUGGCCUACCAAGGCGACGAUCGCUAGCUGGUCUGAGAGGAUGAUCAGCCACACUGGGACUGAGACACGGCCCAGAAUCCUACGGGAGGCAGCAGUGGGGAAUAUUGGACAAUGGGCGCAAGCCUGAUCCAGCAAUGCCGCGUGUGUGAAGAAGGCCUUCGGGUUGUAAAGCACUUUUUUCAGGAACGAAAUACCACGGGUUAAUACCUUGUGGGGCUGACGGUACCUGAGGAAUAAGCACCGGCUAAAUUUGUGCCAGCAGCCGCGGUAAU
rnacentral:rRNA from 1 species